AUUGAACGCUGGCGGCAUGCUUUACACAUGCAAGUCGAACGGCAGCGCGGGCUUCGGCCUGGCGGCGAGUGGCGAACGGGUGAGUAAUACAUCGGAACGUGCCCAGUAGUGGGGGAUAGCUCGGCGAAAGCCGGAUUAAUACCGCAUACGACCUGAGGGUGAAAGCGGGGGAUCUUCGGACCUCGCGCUAUUGGAGCGGCCGAUGGCAGAUUAGCUAGUUGGUGGGGUAAAGGCCUACCAAGGCGACGAUCUGUAGCUGGUCUGAGAGGACGACCAGCCACACUGGGACUGAGACACGGCCCAGACUCCUACGGGAGGCAGCAGUGGGGAAUUUUGGACAAUGGGCGAAAGCCUGAUCCAGCAAAUGCCCGCGUGUGUGAAUGAAAGGGCCCUUUCGGGGUUGUAAAAGCCACUUUUGGCGGGAAACGAAAAGGG
rnacentral:rRNA from 1 species